AACCGCGGUUAUACGAGAGGCCCGAAUUGACGCCUCACGGCGUAAAGUGUGAUUAGAGACUAACCUAAACUAAAGCCGAAUACCCCUUAUGCUGUCAUACGCCAUAGGGGUCACGAAGCCCAACAGCGAAAGUGGCUUUAUAAAUCUUGAACUCACGACAGCUAGGACA
rnacentral:rRNA from 1 species